UACGUAGGGUGCAAGCGUUGUCCGGAAUUAUUGGGCGUAAAGAGCUCGUAGGCGGUUUGUCGCGUCUGCUGUGAAAACCUAAGGCUCAACCUUGGGCUUGCAGUGGGUACGGGCAGACUAGAGUGCGGUAGGGGUGACUGGAAUUCCUGGUGUAGCGGUGGAAUGCGCAGAUAUCAGGAGGAACACCGAUGGCGAAGGCAGGUCACUGGGCCGCAACUGACGCUGAGGAGCGAAGGCAUGGGGAGCGAACAGG
rnacentral:rRNA from 1 species